rnacentral:rRNA from 1 species
CCUACGGGGGACAGCAGUGGGGAAUAUUGGGCAAUGGGCGCAAGCCUGACCGAGCAACGCCGCGUGAAGGAAGAAGGCUUUCGGGUUGUAAACUUCUUUUCUCAGGGGCGCAGCAAGUGACGGUACCUGAGGAAUAAGCCACGGCUAACUACGUGCCAGCAGCCCCGGGAAUUCGUAGGUGGGAAGCGUUAGCCGGAUUUACUGGGUGUAAAGGGCGUGUAGGCGGGACUGCAAGUCCGAUGUGAAAACCACGGGCUCAACCUGUGGCCUGCAUUUGAAACUGUAGUUCUUGAGUACUGGAGAGGCAGACGGAAUUCCUAGUGUAGCGGUGAAAUGCGUAGAUAUUAGGAGGAACACCAGUGGCGAAGGCGGUCUGCUGGACAGCAACUGACGCUGAGGCGCGAAAGCGUGGGGAGCAAACAGGAUUAGAUACCCCUGUAGUC